UACGUAGGGUGGCGAGCGUUAAUCGGAAUUACUGGGCGUGAAAGCGUGCGCAGGCGGUUCGUUGUGUCGGCGGUGAAAGCCCCGGGCUUAACCUGGGAAUGGCCGUUGAAACUGGCGAACUGGAGUGUGGCAGAGGGGGGGUGGAAUUCCGCGUGUAGCAGUGAAAUGCGUAGAGAUGCGGAGGAACACCGAUGGCGAAGGCAGCCCCCCUGGGCUAACACUGACGCUCAGGCACGAAAGCGUGGGGAGCAAACAGG
rnacentral:rRNA from 1 species